rnacentral:sRNA from 1 species
GCUGGGUGCAGUUGUGCAUACCUGUAAUCCCAGUGAUUUGGGAGGCUGAGGCAGGAGGAUUGUGAGUUCAAAGCCAGCCUCAACAAUGAUGAGGUGCCUUGCAACUCAGUGAGACCUUGUCUCUA